UACUUACAGGUAUAUGAGGUAGGGUAUGAGGUAGUGUGUAGUGUGUAUACUACUUACAGGUAUAUGAGGUAGGGUAUGAGGUAGUGUGUAUACUACUUACAGGUAUAUGAGGUAGGGUAUGAGGUAGUGUGUAUUCUACUUACAGGUAUAUGA